AAGGAGCUGUGUGAAUUGAUGAAUGUUAACUAUGAUAGGGCUGUUAUUGAGGCGAUUGCGAGGGUCAACAAUGAGGAGGAAGAUUCACUUGAAAGUGACAGUUCUCAGACAGCUGCCAAUGAGGAUUAUCUGGAAAGUGAUAAAGAAAAUCAUUCCGAAAUAGCUGCCAGUGAGG